CUGAAGAUCCUUGAAGAUCGCUAGAGCAUAAACCUCCACAUACAACCAUCACCGUGCACCUACAACUCUGCCUGAACUAUCUGCCAGCCAACUUUGUUGUUGGACUCCACACGUCCAGAUGUACCAGGAGCUGAUCGAGAGCCGGGAUCAUUCCUUCUACCACAAGAGCCAUGUUCCAGAGAUGCUUAUUCCUCCUCCACCUUCACCACCAACUCCUGCUCCUUGUCUUAACUUUUGCACUGUUGUUUAAUAAAUUCCAUCAUUGCUUUUGA